GAUAAACGCUGGCGGCAUGUCUAAUACAUGCAAGUCGAACGAAGUUAAAUGAGCUUGCUCAUGUAGCUUAGUGGCGAACGGGUGAGUAACACGUAGUUAACCUAGCCAAUGGAGAGGGACAACUUUUGGAAACGAAAGCUAAUACCUCAUAGGUGGAAACAUUAAAGGUCCGAGUGGAUCACCAUUGGAAGGGACUGCGUCCGAUUAGCUAGUUGGUGUGGUAAGAGCAUACCAAGGCGACGAUCGGUAGCCGGACUGAGAGGUUGAACGGCCACACUGGGACUGAGACACGGCCCAGACUCCUACGGGAGGCAGCAGUAGAGAAUCUUGCACAAUGGGCGAAAGCCUGAUGCAGCAAUGCCGCGUGAGUGAAGAAGUUUUUCGGAAUGUAAAACUCUGUUAUAUGGGAAGAAUGAUAUGAAGAGGAAAUGCUUUAUAUGUGACGGUACCAUAUGAGAAAGGGACGGCUAACUACGUGCCAGCAGCCGCGGUAAUACGUAGGUCCCGAGCGUUAUCCGGAAUUAUUGGGCGUAAAGGGCGCGCAGGUGGUUACUUAAGUCUGGUGUGAAAUUUUUAGGCUUAACCUAAAAAGGUCAUUGGAAACUGAGUAACUUGAGAGCAGGAGAGGUAAGUGGAAUUCCUAGUGUAGCGGUGAAAUGCGUAGAGAUUAGGAGGAACACCAGUGGCGAAGGCGGCUUACUGGACUGCAUCUGACACUGAGGCGCGAAAGCGUGGGUAGCAAACAGGAUUAGAUACCCUGGUAGUCCACGCCGUAAACGAUGAGUGCUAAGUGUUGCGAGUCAAAUCGCAGUGCUGAAGUUAACGCAAUAAGCACUCCGCCUGGGGAGUACGACCGCAAGGUUGAAACUCAAACGAAUUGACGGGGACCCGCACAAGCGGUGGGAGCAUGUGGUUUAAUUCGAAGCAACGCGAAGAACCUUACCAGGGUUUGACAUACCAAUGAUAUUUUCUAGAGAUAGAGAGUUCCUUCGGACAUUGGAUACAGGGGGUGCA
rnacentral:rRNA from 1 species